CGUGGCGGACGGGUGAGUAUCGCGUAGGGAUUUAUCGUUGGGGUGGGGGAUAACCUUGGGAAACUGGGGCUAAUACCGCAUGACGCCUGAGGGCCAAAGUUGUAAUGGCGCCUGACGAGGAGCCUGCGUCCGAUUAGGUAGUUGGUUGGGUAAUGGCUGACCAAGCCUGCGAUCGGUAGCUGGUCUGAGAGGAUGAUCAGCCACACUGGGACUGAGACACGGCCCAG
rnacentral:rRNA from 1 species